UACAGAGGUCCCAAGCGUUGUUCGGAUUCACUGGGCGUAAAGGGUGCGUAGGCGGUCGGGUAAGUCUGAUGUGAAAUCUCACAGCUUAACUGUGAAACUGCAUUGGAUACUAUCCGGCUAGAGGAAUGGAGGGGAGACUGGAAUACUUGGUGUAGCAGUGAAAUGCGUAGAUAUCAAGUGGAACACCAGUGGCGAAGGCGAAUCUCUGGACAUUUCCUGACGCUGAGGCACGAAAGCCAGGGGAGCAAACGGG
rnacentral:rRNA from 1 species